AUCAAGUACGUCCGAAACAUUAGUUAUAAACAAUAUAACAAAACGCAACGAGAUUCACAAAAACUUUUUUCUACUAACAUACUAUAAAUGAAGUUAGCAUAAAAUGAUUUAAUUGAGCUAACAAAUUAAAAAGGUAUUGUUGUUCAAUCAAUGUAUGGCUUUCAACAACUUAAAGUAUUAUAACUAUACAAAAAGUUACUGAAACUAAGAAAAAAAAGUUCACGUAUUCGUGUUUUUAUCUUUAAGUGCAUAAACAUUUAAAUUAGUUCAAUUUACGAAAAAUUUUGAAGAAAAAGAAACUACUGCAGUUUGUAAAGUUUCACUUAUUGUUACAUUUAUAUAUAAAUUUUUUCACAACAAAAUAAAGUUUCAUUUCUAAAAACAAUGCAUCCCAUAUGAUACCAUUGAUUCGGAAUGCAAAUAUAACAUUUGAUCUAGAAAUAAACAUUUAAUUUUUUGGACCAAUUUCACUACCACAAAUUCGACACAAACUGUUCUGCCAACUUCUCUGACCUAUUGAUUUAAUUUUGCAUCAUUUUUUUUUGUCUUUAUUUUAAGAUAUC